CCCUUCACUAAGAAGGGCCCAACAUAGUAUACAACGUAGUACAACAUAGCUUAACAGCAACUAUAAACAUAGAUGUGUUACCAACCUUUUUUUUUCUCCUAGAAACAAAACAUAGCAACAUACCAGAUGCUCUGAAGAAAACAAUUGUGCCCCAGCUGAAACUAGGACACCAGAAUUUACAGAAUCAACAGAAUGAUUUGAUUGGAAAGGACUUUUAAAGAUCAUCUAGUUCCAACCCCUCUGUCUCCCUUGAGAGAUGUAGGAAGAGUGAUUAUCAGUGAAAGCUGCUCAUCCUAGGAAGAGGAACAUUCCCUAACUGACAAUCAAAGAGAUUCCAAAAAAAAAGGCAAGGGUGAUACUUACAGAAGAGGAAAUGAGGAAAGGAUUGAGCAAGUAUCCUGAAGUAAGAAGACAGAAAUACAGUCUUCUUAGGAGCAGCCUCUCUGGGUAUCGAGCAGGAGGUGGGACUCCUUGACCUCUCUCAAAAUCAGUUUUAUCUGGAGAAGAGGAGCCAAUCAUCCAGCAAAACUGAUGUAGAAGAUGGCUUUCCAUGAAUGUACAAAUACUUCUGUGAUGUUUGUGACCUCAUCUUCACCAGCUUCUUUUUGAAUCAUAGUCCUUAGCAUAUUUCUCUCUCUCAUGGACAAGACAAGGACCACAUCAAAGUCAACUCAAAAACAGCAGCAACACAGUGAUUAAGCACUGAACUAGCAUGAGUUUGUGGUUUGGUAUUGCUACCAUCUGUCUUUGCCUUUCUGACACAGAGCUCCAAGUUUUCUGCUGAGGAAGGUCUUUGGAUGUUGUUUCCCUAUAUGGAUAUAUGUCGAUGCAAUUUGUUGAGCUGUCUUGUCUUCAUGUCUUUCUUACCAUUGGGAUAAUAGUAAUUAAGUAAUUGCACAAGUAGGCUGGAGUGUGAUGCCCUCUAAUGCUACAUUUGCCCAAAUGAACAUGAGGGCCUUAAAUGAAGACUUAUUCCUGCAUUCCUGAUCAUUCUCAGUGGAGGAAAAAAAAGAAAAUGAAAAAAUAUAGCUACACUUGGAUUUUGGGACAUGUUCUGCAAUGGUGAAUAAUAGAUUUGAUCAUUUUAAUGAGGCCAUCAUAUAGCUAUUAUUGUCUGUCAUGUCUAAGCCAGGAAAUGUAAGCAUCCUGAGAUAUUUGAUUGUGGAGAACUUAUGAUCCAAUUAAUUGAAUAUGAACUAUUAAUGAAUUGCAGCAUUCAGAGAGUGCAUGGUAAACAUAACCUAGGAGUGAACUGGGUUGAAUGUUCUAGGUUGAAUGUUUCUUUGUGGUUAUGACUGAGAGUAAAUCAUUUAAAAGAAGCAGU